GUUAUUUCUCGUAUCGACAUGAUGCUGUCCAGUGCUUUUUGCAGCCUAUCAUAGCUUCGUUUCUGUCAAAGGAUAAGCAUAAACAGCAGAAAUAUGACAGGUUGACAAGAAAAAUAAAAAUGGUUAAAGGCCAAAGCCUUGGGAUCGAAAGGGUCAACCACUGAAGGAUAAGGAUCAAAUAUAAUGCUUUUACGAGAUGACUCCAGGGCAGCUCUGCACAUUGCUACCAGCAGGUCAACCACCUGCAUGAAAAUGAUCACACAGUCAGUUUGAUCAGACUGAUGGAGUUUCAGCAACACUGCUCACGGACACUCUGAGAGGCAGACGGGUUAAACAGGGUCAGCUGUGUCCUCCUCUGUCUCCUGAUAUCUCAGUGAUUUACCUGUCCUAACCAUCUUCACUCCCUUAUCCCCAUCCCUUCUUCAGCAGACGCUUGUAUCAACCAGCUUAAACAAUCUACUCAACUAGUGAUGAAGACUUUGCCAAGCACUUUAUGUUCAGAUCUGGUUUAGACUCUAUGACAAGGUCCAGCAUUACAGCCAGGACGAAGAUGAUGCUUAUUCAGGAAGAAUGGCUGAGUAAUCCUGAACCAUCCC